AAUAAAAGCAAAAUGACGAUUGAAUCCACGUGGUUAUAGUCUAGCAGACGGGACUUCAACCUCCUUGCUCUGCUUUCUCUUUUCUACAAUUGUAUAUCAGCCGCCCAUUUCCUCCUUCCUUUUUCCUUCCCAGUCUUCCCUGCUUUCAAAUUCUUCCUUAUUAUUACCAACAAACAUCAACACAUAGCCUCUCUUUCUCUCUCUCCUCAAGCCUUCAUCUUUUGUUUGUUUUCUCUUUAAUCACUUGCCAAUCUCCACAGAUCUCUUUGCAUCUAACAGAAUUUCUCAAGUUUUCCUUUUGGGAUGUAAAGACAGGGUGCAAAUUAAAGGAGAUGGCUACUGGGUAUGAAGAAAUUGUGACCAUGUGCUUGAGGAUGACUGUUGAAGGGAGUUCCAAUAAG